AGUGAAGAUUUUCAGAAACUCUGUUUUUGGUGCCGAUGUGAAUACAGGGAAAACUGAGAUUUUGGCACUAUUAUCUACUUUGUUUAACAUCAGAAUGUGCACCGUUUGCUGUUUACGUUAGCGGUUUUUAGCCUGGCAGAACUGCUAAUAGGGUUUCUGAUUGGCCAUCUGUCACAUCGCCCCUCACUUGCACACUGGGCAGUCAGCGGGGAUCCAAGACACCUGGGAUGGCACCUUAAAAGACCAAGCCCUACGAUUCUCCAACACAAGACGAGCCUUCGAGUGUUUGCAGCGCACUGGCAAGAAAGGAAGGAGACAGGAGAAAGAUCGUCGCUAUACGUACAUGCAGACAGUGAAUAGGUUCCACAAGAUGUGCUAUUAUGAAGGACUGAAAGAUAAAAAGUAAAAGACACGCGACUGAAGGAUUCGGCGACAACCAUCAUCCGAAUUGUACUCUGCUUCGCACUCCAGCAGGGGUCCCGCCAAAAAGAACCGAGGUGAAAUAGUAAAUAAUCUCGCAAAAUAUUUUUAAAUUUUACUUUUUGGUUUUG